UUAAGGCUGCUCCAAACUGAUGCUAUGGGAAAAGAGAGCAUGAUGGCUUCUUUUUUUUUUUUUUACUGUAUCUGAGCUUCUGACCAUGCCUCUCUGUCCUCUGUUCAUGGGGCUAAUCCUGGAUCCUCACAGAAGGGGACCCAGGGAGAGACAAGGGUAGGAGCAGGACAGUUACUGCCUUCAUUGGUGGCAAGGAACCUGGCACUGGUUUCCUCCAGCUGGAAGAGGUUUAAAGCUGGUAUUUCUCUUGGUGCCAAGAGAUGCAGAACUUGUUUUUUGCCAACCUCCUCUGAAAGUCCUAUGAAGGUGGUCUGGAAACUUAACUUUGAACAAACAGGACAAGUUGCAAAAUUGUAACAAUUUCAUCCUUGUGUCAGAAAGACCCUGCAUUUCAAAAUCACAAACAUUUCCAGUGUUCGGACCUUAAGGCAAAUAAGAAGCUACGAAUUCAAGUUUAUUGGGAAAAAAAGGAGAUGAGAGAAAGCGCUGUUUGUCCCAGGCAAACAAGACAGUCUUCGUUCUACAUCAAAGGCCAGAAAAAUAUCAGAUAUAAUUAAUAUUUCAUUCUGGAAGAUUUUUUCCAGUGUCCUUAAAAGUAGUAUUUCCUGCAUAGACUUCAAAGUGAAAUUCUGCAAAAUCCUUUUAGACCUCUGUGCUAAAAGAAUUACGUAGAAAAGAGUUGAUGCCAUAAAGGGACAAAGAAAUUCCAAAGUCCUGUGUUAAGCAAAGAAGAAGGGGCCAGGGCAUUUUUGGAUAAAUGAGACCAAGCUGUGAAUGCCUCAACUGUAAGUUCAAGAAGUAGAUGAUGAUUGAAGAAAUAAGGUUAACUGCUCACAACAACAUGGUGGGUAGGGAUUGCUGGGUAGGUGACCUUGACUAGCCACACAGAGGUCCCUGAACUGAGUGGCUCUGCUCUGCCUCAUCAGGGUAAGUGAUACAAGCAUCCAGGAAUUCCCUGGCCAGUAUCCCUUAAGAGAGGGGCACCUGGGUGGCUCCAUCAGUUGAGCAUCCGGCUUUGGCUCAAGUCAUGAUCUCAUCAUUCAGGGUUCAAGUCCCGCAUCAGGCUCUGUGCUGACG